rnacentral:piRNA from 1 species
UGAAAGAUCAAAGUUUGAAGGGUUGUGCCA